rnacentral:rRNA from 1 species
AUUGAACGCUGGCGGAAUGCUUUACACAUGCAAGUCGAACGGCAGCACGGACUUCGGUCUGGUGGCGAGUGGCGAACGGGUGAGUAGUGUAUCGGAACGUGCCCAGUCGUGGGGGAUAACGUAGUGAAAAUUACGCUAAUACCGCAUACGAUCUAUGGAUGAAAGCGGGGGAUCGCAAGACCUCGCGCGAUUGGAGCGGCCGAUAUCAGAUUAGGUAGUUGGUGGGGUAAAGGCCCACCAAGCCAACGAUCUGUAGCUGGUCUGAGAGGACGAUCAGCCAAACUGGAAAUGAGACACGGUCCAGGCUCAUACGGGAGGCAGCAGUGGUGAAUUUUGGACAAUGGGCGAAAGCCGGAUCCAGCCAUUCCGCGUGCAGGAUGAAGGCCCUCGGGUUGUAAACUGCUUUUGUACAGAACGAAAAGGUUUCUACUAAUACUAGGAGCUCAUGACGGUACUGUAAGAAUAAGUACCGGCUAACUACGUGCCAGCCGCCGCGGUAA